GGGCCGGUCGUCUAGCUUGGUUAGGACAUCUGCCUGACACGCUGCAAGGUCCCCGGUUCAAGUCCGGGCCGGCCCACCA
rnacentral:tRNA from 1 species